AUGAGUGCAUGGCUGCAAAGGAACUCCUGUAGGAAACCAGAGCAGCUCUGCAUCCCCACACAGACCAGCAAUAUGUGCUGCAGGAAAAGGUUAUUUGAGGAAUUGUUCUGGCUGCUGAAUUGGUUUUCUGCUGACUUGCAAGCAAACUCUGUGCGCCCAGGGGGGUCUUGUCCUUGGCUGUCAGAAAGCCAUGGUCCCACCUCCCAGAAGCAAAGAAGGAAGCAAAUUUUAAGUAUUUAUUUAUUUUCCAGAGGCCUUGGAGAAGAUUGUGAUAGCCCUAACCAGGUGGUUGCUAUUUCAUUCCAGACUCUGACCCCAAAGCCUGGAUGUGCUUGCGAAGCACAGAAAGGGCAUGAGCUGGAACUCUAAGACAAUGCAUUAGAUUUCGUUCUCCAUGUGGCUUGUCGACACCAUCUUGCCAGGUGGCUUGGUUUUUAACUCCAUUUCUACUUAGACCACAUUUCUGAUCUGGGAGGGAUGAACAAGGCCUACCAGCUUCAAAAGGAUACUAAUGCUAAUCCCCAGUUUGAAUCUCUUCUGCCUAUGGGAAAGCCAGAUGUGAUCAGAUCGAGAGGUCACCUCAUGCCAAGGCAGUAACCCCCAUUGGUUCUUGAGCUGUGAGACCCAUUAUCUGGUGUCUUCUCUCAGUGCUGCUGAAUGCAUUUUACCUGUAUUGAAGGAAUCACUAAAAGAAAUGAACAAGAGUGAGCUGCAAACUUCUAAUGGUUGUUAAUGGCUGGGUCUUUGCAAUGCAAAUGUAGAGACCAGCCUGAACAUUACACAGUCAAGUCGGCCUGGAGAAAGUACAUUCCAUGCAAGGUAGAAAUGAGAAGAACACGUUUGACUCUUCAACAAGUAGAUAAUAAUCCUUAUUUCUACACUACCUCUGCUGCAAGCUUCUCCCUCACCUGGGAGGUUUUGUACCUACAGAGGGGCUGCGCUGGGGUUUAGUUCACUUGAAGCAAGCAUAUUCAAUGUUUGCUAAAUGCUCCUACAGGACUGAAACUGACCUUAAUGUUUGAAGCCCUAAUUUCCCAUAAUUAUGCAACAAGUGAGAAAAUGAAACAGUGUAAUAUGACCACUGAGUAAAAGUAGGUACUUUACAUAUUUGCAACCAUCAGAUAUUUUAUCUCUUUAAGGAAAAAAAAAAAAGGAAAAUAGUUGGCUAAAUGUAGGCCUGUGAUGGCUAAGGGCUGUACCAUAGAAAGCUGUAAAACUAGAUAAGUGGAAAAAUAAAAAUUGAAACAGUACGUAGAUUCCAGUUCAAGCUUCGGAUCUAGUUGAGUAGAGCUAUUUUUAUGGCACGUGUCUAAUGAAUUAGAGUCUCCUUU
rnacentral:lncRNA from 1 species